rnacentral:lncRNA from 1 species
AUGAUGAUGGUGGGAAGAAGAGAAAAGAGAAAGGCGACCCGAAAGGGGGAGGAGCCCGCAGACGCUGUAGAAGCGGAGGACGGCGCUGCGUUUCCAGAUCAUGGUCCCUUCUCUAAAGGGCUGGGAAGGAACGAGGGGGGCGGCAAGAUGCUGGUGAGUGGGACACCAGAGUGCAGGGCUCCGCCGGCGUCCUCCUGGCGCCUGCUGGACCCUCGGCGCCCGCCGCUGCGGUGUUCGAACCCUCGGACCCGGAUUGGAGGCAGCAGAAGCGGCAGCUGCGAAGCACCCGCAGAAUGGGGUUUCGGUGGGCGAAAGAGUUUCUUCUCCUCCUCCUGCCGGUGGUGCAGCCGCGACAGCCCGUCAGGCAGGCGCGGGUUCGGAGCCUGCCUCCUCUCGGCUCGCACCGCAAGUCCCAGAGCCCGCGGGGGCUGCCCGAGCAGGUGGUGCAGGGACGCCGGGGUGUCGGGGAAGGUGCAGGCGAGGGCUGCGGGAGUGGGCAGGUCGCGGAGGGAGGGCGGGGGCAGGGGGGCGCAGGCAAGCAGCGGCCGCCGCUCGCGCUCAGGGUGUCUCGGGGUCCUGGGAGGGGAGGUGGCAGCGGUGGAAGCGGCGCUGGCGGCGGCGGCGGCGGCGGCUCCCGGAUGCUCGAGCUGCAGCAGCAGCAGCAGCAGCAGCAGAGGCACCCGCGGCGGCGGCGGCGGGGACGGCGGCGGCGGCGGCGGCGGCGGCGGCGGCGGCGGCGGCGGCGGCGCGGCGGCGGCGGCGGCGGCGGGCGGCGGCGGCGGCGGCGGCGGCGGCGGCGGCGGCGGCGGCGGCGGCAGCUCUACAGAGCACCAGACACAAGGGCAAGCUCAGCGCGGCGGAGGCCCCGCCCCCACCCUGGCCAGGGACAGACACCGCCCCCCGGCCAAUGGGAGCGCACCCGCCUCCCGGGCCUGGCCAAUGAGAGGAGGGGAUGGGUGGAGACAAACGCCGGGAAAAACAAACAGGCUUCUCAAGGACCCUUCGGGCAGGAAGAACCGAAGCCCCGUUCACACCCCCUCCCCCGGGUCUCACCUCCCUGGCGACGUCUCGCCCCACCCCGACGGAGGAGACACCGCCCUCACUGACCGCGCCUUGCCCUCAGGAAUGGUUCAGCCAAUCGCCACCGCGAGGGGGCGGGGUUAG